AUCACCGGGAUAAAGGCAUCUUAUCGCUUGACUUAUCCUCAUCAUUCCCUAGUCAUCAAUCGAUUCGGUGGCUUUUUCCUCGGUGGA
rnacentral:pre_miRNA from 1 species